UCACUCCAGGGCCUGGUGGUCACUCAGUGGUCAGUGAUGAUGAUGAUGAUGAUGAUGAUGAAGAUGGCUGUGGUCACUCCAGGGUCCGGUGGUCACUCAGUGGUCAGUGAUGAUGAUGAUGAUGAUGAUGAAGGUGAAGAUGGCUGUGGUCACUCCAGGCCCCGGUGGUCACUCAGUGGGUGGUCAGUGAUGAUGAUGAUGAUGAUGAAGAUGGCUGUGGUCACUCCAGGGUCUGGUGGUCACUCAGUGGUCAGUGAUGAUGAUGAUGAUGAUGAUGGUGAAGAUGGCCGUGGUCACUCCAGGGCCUGGUGGUCACUCAGUGCCCGGUGCAGGUGGUCAGUGAUGAUGAUGAUGAUGAUGAUGAUGAAGAUGACCGUGAUGGUCACUCCAGGGCCUGGUGGUCACUCAGUGGUCAGUGAUGAUGAUGAUGAUGAUGAUGAUGAUGAUGAUGAUGAAGAUGACCGUGGUCACUCCAGGGCCCGGUGGUCACUCAGCGCCCGGUGCAGGUGGCUGAAGGGGUGGUCAGUGAUGAUGAUGAUGAUGAUGAUGAUGAUGAUGAUGAUGAUGAUGAUGAUGAAGAUGGCUGUGGUCACUCCAGGGCCCGGUGGUCACUCAGUGGUCAGUGAUGAUGAUGAUGAUGAUGAUGAAGAUGGCUGUGGUCACUCCAGGCCCCGGUGGUCACUCAGUGGGUGGUCAGUGAUGAUGAUGAUGAUGAUGAUGAUGAUGAUGAUGAAGAUGACCGUGGUCACUCCAGGGCCCGGUGGUCACUCAGUGGUCAGUGAUGAUGAUGAUGAUGAUGAUGGUGAUGGUCACUCCAGGGCCUGGUGGUCACUCAGUGGUCAGUGAUGAUGAUGAUGAUGAUGAAGGUGAUGGUCACUCCAGGGCCCGGUGGUCACUCAGUGGUCAGUGAUGAUGAUGAUGAUGAUGAGUGUGGUCACUCCAGAGCCCGGUGGUCACUCAGUGGUCAGUGAUGAUGAUGAUGAUGAUGAUGAUGAUGAAGAUGACCGUGGUCACUCCAGGGCCCGGUGGUCACUCAGCGCCCGGUGCAGGUGGCCGAAGUCCGGCCGCUCGGCCGCCUCGCGGGCCCAGCAGUUCAACAUCAGCCGGUGCAGGGCCGGGGGGCAGCCGGGGGGGCACGGCAGGUACUGC